AAGGCUGUUUGUAAACAGAUACAAAUACAAUGCAGAAAUCACAAGAGAAGACUAUUUCAUUUAAAAUAUCCUCCACUCAAGAAGGCAAGUGAAAGUAAAGCUGAAACUAGUAUGUGUUUUAGCCAAUGGAGAAUUUGGAUAUUUGAAGAAAAGCUGGCAGUCUCUACGAAAAACUUGAACUUGCUGCGGUGGCUCACGAUAAUUGGAAAAACAGUACUGUGAGCAUACAUGUAAGGAAUAGAUUAACCAUAGCAAGGGGAUGCAUUUGUUGGUCUAAAAUUAGAGGUUUAUACUGUUGGGAAGGUAGAAAUAUUGCAUAAAGCUUCUGCACAGAAAUGUUCUAAAAGAAAUAGUGCUGUAUGUUAUGGUGGUAAAAUAUGUUCUACUUAAUUGGUAGUAAGGCAGUGUGUUAAACAGCAACUGCUGACAGGAAGUGUUUGGCUGGAUUGAAUAACUUGAAUCUGGAAAUAUUAAAUGAAUUAGCUUAGGAGGGUUCUGAAUUUGUAAUGUGGAUUUUCAGCAAUCAUUGGACAGCUGGGAAAAUUGCAAAAGAUUUGAGGGUUGGGGUGAAGGUUAAGGUUGUCUCAGCAUUUAAGAGAAGGUAAGUAGAGAGAAGUAAGCUACUCAAUGGCUGGAAGGGAGGAAUUUGACAGAAGUCCCUCUGGAAGAUAUUGUAGUAUCUGGAGGCAUUCAUCAAACACAUCCUUCUCCUCACUGCUUCCUUUUAGGAGGGAAUUACAGACUGUGAAUCUCAAUUUGAGAGCGAUACAAUGGGUAUUUAUUCUUUUGGAUGAGGAAAGUUGCUGUUAGCCCCCUGACAUGAAAAUACUUCUGCUGAUACAAGGCUUGUGUCCUUGCUUCUGCGCUUUUGUUUGAUCAGAUGGAAGAGUGCUACCAGAGGUACACACGUGCAGGGAAGGGCAGCUAACAGCACACAGAUUGCCUGUACCCAAGGUGGAUAAACUUUCUCCUCUUUCAUGGGGAAGCCUUCCUAUGGAGACAAAAAAGCAAGAGAAAGAAAUAAUUGGUAUGGAAAGUCUGUGAGACAUUUCACUUCAACACUUCUCAGCAUUACACACACCUAUAACAAAUAUGGAGCACACAGUAUGUGGGACACCUCAAGAAGAGACACAUUUUAGUAUGUGUAACCUCUUUGCAUACUGGAGCCUUCUCAUUCUGAGCACUACAUCACUUCAGACUGCAUUCCAUAGACAUACACAACUCCAAUUACUUCAAAGAAAGCAAUGACUAGAAGAGGCACUGAGCCUGCAUAUCUGUCAAAAAUGUCAAUCCAGUAACUCCCUGAACCCAGUGUAAAACACAGAGCAAUGAGGAAGCUAAUUAGACAUAUUAUACCUGAAGAAAAAAAGAUAUCUUUGUUACUGGAGUAUUGAACUUGGAUUACCUGUUGGAAGCAGUUAUGGUACCUGAUCAAGAAAUUCUUGAAGGUCACAGCUCUUCAGUUUGAGUCCAGCAAUUUUUUCUGGAUGUGAUGAAUUCAGGAAACUGAUCCAGGAGUCUUGCAGGACAACUUGUGUGUCUUCUGUGUCUAUCUGAUCCUGGUACAUGACUGAGAACAUUUGCAGGAGUGAGAGAUUUUCAAGAACAGUGAGGUGUCACAGUUACCAGAAGGUGGAUGUGGCAGCUGUCAGAAACUACAAUUUGUGCUGCACUGCAAAGUAGGAAAAAAGUUGGAAAAUAUUGCCUCCGCAUCAGGCAUAGGUGUGUAGGAAGUGUGUGCUGGAUGGGAGCUCAUUUGCAAUUCCUUGAGCUGGGACCCAAAGAGACGUACCAACGCCUCCAAGCAUCUCCUUUGGGCCAGAAGCAGCACAUGCUGUUGGUUACCUGUGGGAAGGGACCAGUCCUGCCAGCAGCCUGACUAUUUCCCGCUAAACUGUGUGCAAUUCCUUGUUUCCCACACUUUCCCUCAGAAAGGACAUGGGUUUGGGUCUCCCUUCUUUUGCACAGAUACUGAUUUUUAUGAGACCAGGAGAAGUUCCAUCAGGAUGUUUAUACCACCUGCCCAAAUGUCCAGUCAAAUUGAAAUGGUGUAAUAGAUUGAAGUUUAUUGCCAUGACCAACAACCACUGUGACCAUGAAGCCUCUUUUCUCUGGGGAAACAAAGACAGAAGUCCUGCCUCAGCCACCUCCCAGUCCUCCUACCAAUGUAUACUGAUUCUAUGUUCCUCAUUGCUUUGUCAAUAAACCUGUGCCUUGUUCUACCAUUUCUACUUUGCCUCCAAAUCUCAUAUCUGAGUCUGCUCAGCUCUGCUCUUCCAGUUCUGGAAACUUUCUCCUCUCCCUCCAGGUUGGCAGGGAGAUCAGCCUCACCAUCCCCAUCCAAGAGAGCAGAACAGAGUAGCUCUGCACUAUGCUCAGCCUUCAGCCCUGAGAGGGAGGUUGGGGAAUGCAGAAGGAUUUGCCGUCUCCACCUGGAGUGGCGCCAGGAUUCUGCAAUCACUGGUUAUUUAGAAAGGCUGGGCAGAUAAAUCUAAUCACUUAGGCUAGUGUUGUAUUGCAGUAACUUCACUACCUAUUGCUAGGAGCUG